rnacentral:lncRNA from 1 species
AUUUCGACUGACCGGAGUGUGGCCGAUAAAGAGUUAAAAAGAGGAGAGGGUAGAUCUAGAUCUAGUCCUGGGUGGGUAGGGGUGGGGUUGCAGGAGCUCAGAGCACUGGCCCAGCCCUGCCCCCAACUUGCUGUGUUCUCUUGGACAAGUUACCUCCCUUCUCUGGGCCUCAGAUAACCCAAGAAUCCUUACAUAGAUAUCUUUAUAGCCACAAAGCCCUGUGAGGUUUUUGAAAAACUUCCUUGGUAUCCAAAGCCAGGUCUGAGGCACAGUCAGUGAAUACCUGUUUAAUGAAUGCAUGCAUAAAUGAAUGAAUGGAUGAUCCAGCUCUUCCUGGAGCAGGCGCGACUUCCACAGAAACAAAAAGAGGGCAAACGCGAGCCGUAAGCAGAAGUGAGUCUUCUUCCUAUGUGAAGGGAUGUGGGGGUGGUCCGCCCUAUCUGUCCUUGAGCACCCGCCCGGACUAGAGGGGUGGGGGUGGCUCCACCCUUAACAAGCUUAAUUCUUGAUGAGAUUAACCAUCAGAACCCAUGAGAGAACGUUAUAGCUCCAGCGCUGAAUGGGACAUCUUUGAUUCUAUGGUGAUGCGGACUUUGUGCUUCUGUGUGAGGAAACACUGUUCCAACGACGCAAUUUUCCUCACACUCCGGAAGUGUCCUGCACUGCCAGAAUUGCCCAGCUUCCUGGCACACCUACAAACCAGUCAUUCCCAACACUGCCCAGUAUGCAGCCUCCCGGCAGAGGGCCUGAAUGUCUUGGCAGUUCCAGAUCCAGGGAGCCAGGAGGGCUCCGACUGGUGCACACACAAGCCGCUCACACUGCUGUCGCCCACAUACCGUCCUCUCCUGCUAGCCCACCCCAAAGCCCAAACUCCUGCCCACAUGCUGGGAAGGUGAGGCCUUGCCUGGACAGCCCAGCAGGGAAAAUAGAAAGAGGGAAGUAGUCCUGCUGCUUUUCCGGAGCUCUGCUCUGCGGCUGCAGGAAGACCCGCAGAGGCCCUGGGCAGCAGGACUGUGGACAGCAAGGCCUGAGUGGUGAAACCCAACCACUCAACUGGAUUCCAGAAGCUCAGGUGGUGGUGACUAAACCUGGCCUUAAUCAAAAUGCAUGACUUUAUUGUCUUUCAAUGUAUUUUCAGUAAACUUCAUCCUCUCCAUUACUAUUUCUUUUCUGUGGAAAAAAGCAAUAGAUCCUUGUAAAAAUACGUGAUGCCACGCACUUAGGAAUCACUGUCAUGUGGAGAUGAGAUUUCUUUUUUAUUUUUAUUUUUCUGAGAGUCUCACUCUGUCGCCCAGGCUGGAGUGCAGUGAUCUCCGCUCACUGCAACCUCUGCCUACCCGGCUCAAGCGAUUCUCAUGCCUCAGCCUCCUGAGUAGCUGGGAUUACAGGCACGUACCACCAUGCCCAGCUAAUUUUUGUAUUUUUAGUAGAGAUGGGGUUUCACCAUGUUGGCUAGGCUGAUCUCGAACUCCUAACCUCAAGUGAUCUGCCCACCUCGGCCUCCUAAAGUGCUGGGAUGACAGGCAUGAGCCACCGCACCUGGCUGGAGAUGAGACUUCUGUGUGUGGUGCUAAAAGAGUAAAUAAAAACAUCAGACACUACAUUGGACAUGCUACUAAGAGCUUAGUCAUCUCACCUAAGUUCUCGGACCAACUCCCGUUUUCUUAGGAUUCUUUGGGCCCCCUCACAACCCCCCGGCCCCGCCCCGCUCAUUAUGAAAGCUUGGACAUGACUCCGCCUCUCUGAGUUCCAGGCUACCCUUCUGUAAAUGGGAGGUUGGACUGGAUGAAAGCUCAGAUUCUUCUUGCCUUCUAAUGUUCUAAGAAUCUGACUUAUUUCAUAGGGUUCUUUAUGAAUCCACGGACCAAGUUUUCUGAACCAAAAACAAAAACAUGUCUGAUGAAGGAGGUAUCUUUUCCUCUUCUUUGCCA